GCGAGAUCGGCGGAACGAAUUUCGGCCCUCCUCUUGUUUCGUAUUCUUCUUAAUCUUCGUUCGACAAGCCCGGUGUCAACACGUUGCGUUAAUUCCGUGCAACUCGUUGAUCUAGAAAAUUCCCUCCUGCUUAAUUCUUCCUACCUUUUCCUUUUGUUACCUUCUUCACUAUCGAUUUUACCGUAACUUUUACCUUUUUCUCUAUCGUUUUACCUUCGUUUCCUUUUCGUCCUCUUACCUUUUCUACCGUUUUCUUUUGCUACUGACAAGUUUAUUUCAAAUUCGAAUCAGUGAGUGCUCGAAUCAUCGGCUAAGCAUUAAACUGCAGGUCGAUCGUUCGGGGCUGGUGAAUAUCUCAGUUGGGUGAACCUAGCAAAAAAUCUUGGAAAACAAAGUACAGAAGCUGCAUAGGUCACAACGUUAUUGCAAGAACAAAAAAAAAACAGUGUCGAAAGUACGUCGCUUCAUCGUUCAACAGCAAAUGCUACGAGAACUUUUUCAUCUAAAGUGUGGAGCUUCAUCGUUGAACCGUAAAUGCCACCAGGAUUAUAUCGUAUCUGAAGUGCGGACCAACUCAGAAAAGAGUUAAGCGAAGACAUCCGAAUGACUACUCCAUUACUUGGCAGCAUUGGUGAGUUUGCAUGUAUUUGGGUUACAGGUACUUCUCCGGGUCGCUUUUAUUACGUGCCGAUAAUUACUUUUGUUUCUGAUUCUGCAAGUUAAUUUUUUUUUAUAGCUGUUUAAGAUCUAAAUAACAGUAAAACGGUAAUUCCAAGUUAAAUAAUUGA